rnacentral:misc_RNA from 1 species
GAUGAAGAACGUAGCGAAAUGCGAUAAGUAGUGUGAAUUGCAGAAUUCAGUGAAUCAUCGAAUCUUUGAACGCACAUUGCGCCCUUUGGUAUUCCUUAGGGCAUGCCUGUUCGAGCGUCAUUACACCACUCAAGCUAUGCUUGGUAUUGGGCGUCGUCCUUAGUUGGGCGCGCCUUAAAGACCUCGGCGAGGCCACUCCGGCUUUAGGCGUAGUAGAAUUUAUUCGAACGUCUGUCAAAGGAGAGGAACUCUGCCGACUGAAACCUUUAUUUUUCUAGGUUGACCUCGGAUCAGGUAGGGAUACCCGCUGAACUUAAGCAUAUCAAUAAGCGGAGGA